rnacentral:rRNA from 1 species
UACGUAGGGUCCGAGCGUUGUCCGGAGUUACUGGGCGUAAAGCGCGCGCAGGCGGCGGUGUUGGCCCGGCGUGAAAGCCCCCGGCUCAACCGGGGAGAGUCGUCGGGGACCGCACCGCUUGAGGGCGGUAGGGGCUGGUGGAAUGCCUGGUGUAGUGGUGAAAUGCGUAGAGAUCAGGCAGAACACCUGGGGCGAAGGCGGCCAGCUGGGCCGUCCCUGACGCUGAGCGAGCGACG